CCGUCAGAAUGGGUUACAACCCGCGAGCCAACCCGGCCCGUCACGAGUUUGGGUCGGGUUAGGUUUGAAAAAUACAACUCACUUAUAUGCGGGUCAGAUUUCAACCCGACUUGUUUAGACCCGGCUCAUGCGGGUUGAACCCGUGGUGAGCCGGGUUGGCCCACCAACCCACCUAUCUAAUUUUAUUUUUUUUAAUUUAUUAUUUAAUUUAUGAAACCCUACAAAAAUACUUUCUUCACUCACUGUGUAUACCAAAAAAAGUAAACUCUAAACUCUGCUCUCACAAAUCACUCUCUCACGUUACUUGCUCUCAUUUGACGGUG
rnacentral:lncRNA from 1 species